UACGUAGGGUGCGAGCGUUAAUCGGAAUUACUGGGCGUAAAGUGUGCGCAGGCGGCCGCGCAAGUCGAAUGUGAAAGCCCCGGGCUUAACUUGGGAAUUGCGCUCGAAACUACGUGGCUGGAGUGUGGCAGAGGAAGGUGGAAUUCCACGUGUAGCGGUGAAAUGCGUAGAGAUGUGGAGGAACACCAAUGGCGAAGGCAGCCGUCUGGGCCAACACUGACGCUCAUGCACGAAAGCGUGGGGAGCAAACAGG
rnacentral:rRNA from 1 species